CUGACUAGAGAACAAACUACCAAUUAACGAGCGAGGAAACAGGGCCAGAGAAUUGGAACAAAAUACAAGGCUGCCUCUGAAAGGAAUAUCUUUGUGCUGAUGUGUCCAUCAAGAGAACAUACACAGAAGUGACACUUGCCAGUAAUUUGCAAGCAGAUGGAACUUCAAUAUGGCAAUAGAGAAAGAAUCAAUUAGACCAGAGUCUCCUCAGGAAGACUUUCUAUAGCGUAAUUAUCUCUCCAAUUAAAGAGCAACCAAGGGACAACUGAACUGGAGGUUCUGCAGAAUUACAACUAAGCACGCAGCCGAGGAAUCUACUCAGCUUUGAUCUCUUAUCGCUCUGCACACACAGCCCUUUCUCUGUAAGGCUAGCUGCUCUCAGCAUCACUGUGUCUAAUCAAACGUGUCACACCUCCACUGAGAAAAUAUUUACUGGAUAGCUACUAGACAUAAGGAUGCAGAAAUGAAUUAGAAAAAUUCCUCGCCCUUGUUCAAAGCUAUGCUGGCUCUUAGAACAUCUGAGCCCCCACUGUUUCAUCUUUAGAGGAUCCCAGCUGCUGGGGUGUGAGGCCAGUGCUGGAGCCAGCAGUCUCUGACCCAGAAGGGACCUGAGGUGCUAAAGAAAAUGUCACAGAUGGAGUCCAAAAACAAAAUAACGGCCUGCUCCAUUCUGAUUCAAGUUCUCAUUUGCCUGUGCCCUGCUUUCCCAAGAGCCUAGUGACUGAUUGCAGACCCUUGAUUUCUGUGAGCUUAGACUAAUAGGUAUUGCAGGCAUACAUUCUGGGCUGAAGAUAACCAGAAAGCCAGCAACCUGAUGGGAGGAACAUUCAUUGCACAAGCUGAGAGUGAAAUGAGCUUCUACAUCAGGAUAUUUAACACAGACACAGAGAGGACGGUGCCACUGGAAGUCAUGCAGCCGCAAGUCAAGAAAUGUCAUGAGUGGCUCCUCUCCAGAAACUAGGAGAGGAGCAUGGGGCAGGUUUUCUCCUAGUGCCUUCAGAGACACAUGGCCCUGCCGACACCUUGAGUUUGGAUUUUUGGCCUCCAGAACUGGGUACAAGCUGGAAAAGGGGAAAAUGAAUCAUGCUACAGGCCAAGUGUCCAUCACUGAUUCCCAGAGAUGCCCUUUGUGUGGUAGGCACUUCCAUGUGGACUCGCUACAGAGUUUGGAGUUCCUGAACAACAUGGACAGUGUUAAUUUGGAUUCCAUGCUUCAUGGCACAGAAUUGGAGCACUAACUACUCAGUGAUGACUUUCUCUUCCUCUAGCUAAGGUGAUCAACAAGUUUCCUUGUUCUUUCUCCAAGUAGUAGAAGAAAGUAAAGGUCAUAAGACCCUAAUUCCAGAGGGCCCUACCCUAUAACCAGAAGGAAGAACUAUUGCACAGAGAAUCUAAGAAGAAUCUAGACAGACAGCCCUUGCUGGAUUUCUCCACUCUGUUAGCAUUCGAUCAUUUGCCUUUUGUCCAGUCAUAUUUCUGCAUGGCUGUCCAUACUUUGUUGAACCUAAGCACAAAAUGGAAAGUUUUCCCUGUAUCUUUGGGUCGUCAU
rnacentral:lncRNA from 1 species